CUGGAUUUCCCCAUCCUCUCCCUCCACUGGCUCCUUCUCCCUGCCCAGAUUCCUUUAGCCCAUCCCCAAGGCCCUGCACUAGCCCUCUCUGUCCACACCAGCCCUCUGGACACGGUCACCUCUUCCCUCCCCCAGCAUCAACUGGUAUCCCAGCCUGGGCUGAACCGAGGCCUCAUCCUAGAUCUUCUUGACAAACUGAAGAAUCCUGGGAAAGGACCCUCCAUCGGGGACAUUGAGGAUGAGGAGCCCGAGCUACCCCCUGCUGUCCCCCGGCGGAUCAGAUCCACACACCGCUCCAGCUCUCUGGGGAUCCCUGAUGCAGACUGCUGUCGGCGGCACAUGGAGUUCAGGAAGCUCCGAGGAGUGGAGACCAGACCCCCAGCCGAAACGGCUCGCCUACAGCCCACCAGAGACCUCAAGAGCAGCAGCCCCAGGAAGCAACUGUCUGAGUCGUCCGACAAUGACUAUGACGACGUGGACAUCCCUACCCCUGCAGAGGACACACCUCCUCCACUGCCCCCCAAGCCCAAGUUCCGUUCUCCAUCAGAUGAAGGUCCUGGGGGUAUAGGGGAUGAUGGGCAGCUGAGCCCGGGGGUGCUUGUCCGGUGUGCCAGUGGGCCCCCACCACACAGCCCCCGUCCUGCGCCUUCCCCAUCCACCAGCAGCCCCCAUCUCACCGCCCAUUCAGGUAAUGGGACAGGCUGGGGUCGAAGGUGGGAAGGGGUGGGGGGUAUUGGGGGCUGAUUUUCGCGCCUAACCCUUCUCAGAACCCUCACUCUGGAACCCACCCUCCUGGGAGCUCAACAAGCCCCCACUCCUGCCCCCCAAGAAGGAAAAGAUGAAGAGAAAGGUGAGGUUCAACUCUGCUGAGGACUCGAACCUCUGAACGGGGCUGCCUGGUGGGGUGAGGAGGGGGUGGCAGGACUGACAGUAACAGGUGACAUUUGUUGAGCACUUCUCUGUGCCCAACUCUGACCUGCGCCUGGCUCUUUUUUUUUUUUUUUAAUAUUUUUAAAAGGGUAUUUGAGGCUGGGUGUGGUGGCUCAUGCCUGUAAUCCCAGCAUUUUGGGAGGCUUAGGUAGGUGUAUCAAGAGGUCAGGAGUUUGAGACCAGCCUGGUCAGCAUGGUGAAACCCUGUCUCUACUGAAAAUACAAAAAAUUAGCCGGGCAUCGUGGCACAUGCCUGUAGUCCCAGCUACUCAGGAGGCUCAGGCAGGAGAAUCGCUUGAACCCGGCAGGCAGAGGUUGCAGUAAGCCGUGAUCGCGCCACUGUACUCCAACCUGGGCCAGGUGUGGUGGCAUGCACCUGUAAUCCCAGCUACUUGGGAGGCUGAGAAGAAUUGCUUGAGCCUAGAAGGUGGAGUUUGCAUGCAGUGAACCAAGAUUGCGCCACCGCACUCCAGCCUGGUGACAGAGUGAGACUCCAUCUUCAAAAACAAAACUGAUGGCUGGCCUUGGUGGCUCACACUUGUAAUCCUAGCACAUUGGGAGGCUGAGGCAGGUGGAUCACAUGAGGCCAGAAGUUCAAGACCAGCCUGGACAACAUAGCAAAACCCCAUCUCUACUAAAAAUACAAAAAUUAGCUGGCUGCGGUGGCUUGUACCUGUGGUCCCAGCUACUUAUAAGGCUUAGGCACAAGAAUCGCUGGAACUUGGGAAGCAGAGGUUGCAGUGAGCUGAGAUCAUGUCAUUGCAUUCCAGCCUGGGCAACAGAGUGAGACUGUCUUUUUUUUUUUUUUUUUAAGACGGGGUUUCACCAUGUUGGUCAGGCUGGUCUUG
ensembl:lincRNA